rnacentral:rRNA from 1 species
UGCCAGCCGCCGCGGUAAUACGGAGGAUCCAAGUGUUAUCCGGAAUCAUUGGGCUUAAAGGGUCCGCAGGCGGUUUGAUAAGUCAGAGGUGAAAUCCUACAGCUUAACUGUAGAAUUGCCUUUGAUACUGUUAGACUUGAGUUAUUGUGAAGUAAUUAGAAUGUGCAGUGUAGCGGUGAAAUGCAUAGAUAUUACAAAGAAUACCGAUUGCGAAAGCAGAUUACUAACAAUACACUGACGCUGAGGGGCGAAAGCGUGGGUAGCGAACAGGAUUAGAUA